UCCCGGUUGAUCCCGCGGGACCCGACUGCUAUCAGAGUGGGACUAAGCCAUGCGAGUCAACGCCGCAAGGCGUGGCAUACGGCUCAGUAACACGUAGUCAACAUGCCCAGGGGACGUGGAUAACCUCGGGAAACUGAGGAUAAACCGCGAUAGGUCAUCACUUCUGGAAUGGGUAAUGACUUAAAUCUAUAUGGCCCCUGGAUUGGACUGCGGCCGAUCAGGCUGUUGGUGAGGUAAUGGCCCACCAAACCUGUAACCGGUACGGGCUCUGAGAGGAGGAGCCCGGAGAUGGGCACUGAGACAAGGGCCCAGGCCCUAUGGGGCGCAGCAGGCGCGAAACCUCUGCAAUAGGCGAAAGCUUGACAGGGUUACUCUGAGUGAUUUCCGUUAAGGAGAUCUUUUGGCACCUCUAAAAAUGGUGCAGAAUAAGGGGUGGGCAAGUCUGGUGUCAGCCGCCGCGGUAAUACCAGCACCCCGAGUGGUCGGGACGUUUAUUGGGCCUAAAGCAUCCGUAGCCGGUUCUACAAGUCUUCCGUUAAAUCCACCUGCUUAACAGAUGGGCUGCGGAAGAUACUAUAGAGCUAGGAGGCGGGAGAGGCAAGCGGUACUCGAUGGGUAGGGGUAAAAUCCGUUGAUCCAUUGAAGACCACCAGUGGCGAAGGCGGCUUGCCAGAACGCGCUCGACGGUGAGGGAUGAAAGCUGGGGGAGCAAACCGGAUUAGAUACCCGGGUAGUCCCAGCUGUAAACGAUGCAGACUCGGUGAUGAGUUGGCUUAUUGCUAACUCAGUGCCGCAGGGAAGCCGUUAAGUUUGCCGCCUGGGGAGUACGGUCGCAAGACUGAAACUUAAAGGAAAUGGCGGGGGAGCCC
rnacentral:rRNA from 1 species